UGUACACCAGUGAAGUGGAGGUCUGGAAGCAGAGACAGAAGCAAGGUCUAAGUAUCAGAGCUGGGCUUCAUUUUCCCAGUAAGCAGACCCAGACCUCAGCUUGAGUUCCCUCUUUAUAACACAUUGAGAUAUGGAUAGGUACCUUAGGGAACAUCUAAUGUCAAUGCUCACCCAUACAGAAAUACCACGGGGACUUUUGAUUUAGGAGCCAAACUGGUUGGUUUGUUCAAUGGGCACGUUUCCAGCAGAGGCCCAUGACGCCAGCUUUUAGCAGUACACUCCCAACACUUGACAUUUAUUAAAGCCACAGCUCAGUGAGUGAGGUAAUUACCUGGGCAUUUCCAUUUUCAUUUCUAGUAAGUCCAAAUUAAAGUCCAAAUAAAGUACAUUUUUAGCCCUUCGGCAAAGAUUACUCCUUUUUUUUUUUUUGAACACUUUCCUUCAUGGUAGUUAACCAUUCAUAAUACCCAUCAAUAACCGCUUAGCUGAAGGUAUUAGGGUUUAGGGUUACAUAGACAGUAGUAGUCAAAAAUGCUGUUUCAUUCUUUUUGUCACAUAAUCUUUACUGUAUGAUAAGCACUACAGUAGUAGGCACAAAGCAAAAAGGAGGCCCCCGGUAUUUACUUCUCUCUGAUAACCCGUGCUAAUGAGUUUGCUGCCAUUUUAGCUGAAAUAUGGAUAAAAGAAAUCCCAUCUCGUGUCCUAACGAGCGCAAGCCCUGAGCGUAGACAAACCCUGGGAAGGGCCACAUAAGGGUUGUGGCAAGAUCAGUGGAAAUCCUCUGCCCAAAUUCAGGGUGCCAGGACCACAUCUGUGUCUCCAUGCUUGGCUGCAGCAUUUUAGGAGCCAUGGGAGAGUUGCCAGCACCCCUUUGCUCUCCCACUUUCACCCCAAAGGAGCUGGUCCAGGGGAAUGGGUGCCACCAGGCAAUGGGUGCUCAUGCUGCGAGGGCGGGUAGAAGUCCUUGCUUGUCCCCAGCUCUUUCCUUAAAAGCAGCAGGGGAAAAUCAAUAAAUAAGGAAGGACAGGAAAGGGGACCAUUACAAUUAGACCUGAUUUUAUUUUGCUCCGUAGCCACCGGGUGUCACUCUUGCCUAUAGAGUCAGAAAGGAAUUUUUGGUCGUCGCUGAUAAAAUCCCAUUUCAUCCAUAAAUUCUACAGCUCCCGGCACUGACAGCAGCAUCCCCAUUUAUCAAAAUUUCCCAAGUUUCAACAUCAAAUUACCAACUCGUUAAAUCUGGGGGUAUCUGGAGCUGGCAAUUUAGCCUGCGGUGUUAUUUGCUAAACAUAGGCAAAACACAUUAGGGUUUUUUAUUAUUAUUAUUAUUAUUAUUAUUAUUAGUGUAAAUGCAGCUGGAUAAUUUAGAUCUGGGUUUGGAUUAGGAUCUUGGCCAGUGUCUGUCGGUGUCUGGAUUACCAGGACAUGCUCUGAAGCUGUACAGCUUCUGGGGAAGAGGGAAGGUGAAGAAGAGACAAGGUGUGGAUGGGCAGAAAAGCAAAAAAAUGUGGCUUUUGCAGGCGGCGCCUCUGCAGAAGUGGAGCAAAACCAACAUGAUUCAGCAGAUGAAGCUGUAAAAUAUUCCAACCUUUGAAGUCAAGGCAGUUCAGCCCUGACCAUUCAUGUAUCUCAGAAGUACUAGGAGAUAAACGCGGGAAACAUUACACAGCUCGGUAAAUAUGCGUUCAUCAGAGUACCCGUAAUUGCCAUUGUGUUGGGAUUUUUGCUUUUAUAGAACUACAAACUUGUCUUACAACUGCUAGAAACGCUCUCCCGCUAAUUUUGUAUUUUUCAAGUUCUUCAGAGAUUCUCCAUUUUCUCCAAAGACAGAAAAUCUAUUUUCCUUUCAAACAAAGGAAAUCCAGUGUCGAGUCUUUACCUGAGGAAAGAACCUCUCAAAGAAAAUGUAACACGGCUGGUAAAACCAGUUGCUCUGAAACACUCUGUAUCAGCAAACUGAACAGCUGAUAAGAAUAAUAGAAAUUUUUAGUCAAUGAGAAAAUACUCAUCAGGAACCUCAUCCUACCAGCACAAAAUUUGCUAAUAUUGCCUGGCCUUGCGUUGCUGCCAGAAGUAUGAAUUUGUACUGAAAUCCCACUGUAUGGGAGAAGCACCCCAGCCAAAGUGUAAGAAAUUUCACUGCUAUAAACAGGGCACAUAUGGGGUUUAUGGAGACAUCGGGGUCUGGCUAUUGAUUUGUGCUUUCCUCUGGGUAAUACAUGUCCUAUAAUGCCAUGAGAUUUAUGACCAGGACUUUGAACUCUGGAAUAACUUUUAAAAAGAGGGGGCUGUCUAUAAAAAGUGUGGUUCGGGUUUUAAUCUGUUAUAAUCUAGUGCCGCAAGAAGACUUCGAGAGUUCAUUUAUUUGGCCGUGAAUACUUUUCACACUGAGACUAGGAGGCCACACUCAAAUACCUUCAAAAGUUCAUGCCAGGAUCAGUGAAAUUCAGAGUCACGAAUGACCCAGGGAACAAUCAAUCCUUUGAUUAUAGGAAGUUCCUAUUAAAAUAAUGGAGCACAGAAAGUGCCUUGCUAAAAUGAAUGUGAGUCUCCCAAACCUGUACAUUUGCGCAAAGUGUUGGCUGAGAAAUUUCAGCAAUUCCUUUUAAAAAAAAAAAAAAAACAAACAAACAACAAAAAACAAAAAGCAGACAACAUUUUGAUAUCAAGCAGAGUUUUGACAACUGAUUUGGAUAAAUUGAAUUUCUCUUUUAUCCAGAUUUCUUGACCUGUUCUUAAUACCAAUUUCCCUUGGUGCUUGCUUUCUUGAUUAUAGUUGAAAGAAAUUUAUAACAAAUCUAUCUUCUGUUUUCGCUUCUACGUACCUAUAAAUUUCUACUACAUUUAUAUAUUUGUAUCUCCAGACUGAAAAGCAAGAUAAACCUGAAGGCAAACUUAUCGUACCAGAAUAAAACUCUUUACUCCUGGGACUGGCCAAAACAACAAUCUAUGAAAAAUGCAAAACAGCAACAGGUCUUGUUUUUAAACUGUUUCGCAAAAUAUUUUUGUGCUGAGAACCUGAUCACUGAAGAUGCUAAAGUGCUGCUGGCUGCCCUGAAUGCCUCCCAGUCUCUGACUGGGACUGUCCCAGUUGGUGCUCAGCUUCUUGCAGAAGUGGACCCCUUAAGAGUUUGCAUACAACUAACUAAACACUAGUAAGAUCCUCUGUUUUAGUUUUCCAACACCUGAAUGAUUUAUGGGCAGAAAGUAGGUCUACUGCAAAUUCAUAAUUGAUGCGUCUCUUUUGAUACGCAGUCUAACAAAUGAAAAAAAAUAUUUAAAAUACAAUUGAUUUGUUACUUGUUAUGGACUGGAAGAAGACUUCCAAAAGACUGUCAUGUUUUCUGGCUUGCCCUGAGAUACAGUUCUAUCUAGAAGAUCCGAGAUCCAAACCAUUCAUACCUUCACCUAAACAAAAACAAAAGCCAUCUUCUUCCCUUGGGUCCUGGUGAUACACACACCCCAGCCAUCCCAGUUAUGUGGGACACAUUAAACUGUUUUGACUUGGUUACUUCUAAACAAAACCAAUGAAAUUCAGUUGCUUAUAAAAAAAUGAGACGGAGGCCCUCUUUUUCUCUCCUCCACAUCACUGCUUUAAUCCCUGCUAUGACCAGGUGGGUGUAGCAAUAACUGUAGCUCCUCAACCUGAUGAAAAUAGUGUUGCAUUCAGAAAUUCGAUAAAUGAAUGGGAGGGACAAGUAAUGCUUCCCCCCCCCCCCCGGAUGUUUUGUUAAUUAAAUUAGCAUUUAAAUAGCCAGAGCUAAUCUGGGAAGUCAGGCCCUCAUUACAGUAACUAGGAAGGGGGAAAAGAGCUGCAGACAAUGCCCUACAAGAUGGGGUUAAGUUGGCGUUUCACAAACUAUUUGCCCAGCCUGUCCCUCCCAAGUGAAAGCUGCCACCCCCCCCACCCCACCCCCCCUUUCCUCCCAGAAUAAUUAGCAUGUUCCAGUGCUGUGAAUGGAAACAAUAUCCUCCCUCCAAGCUGUGCCCCUCCAGGGAGAUGCUUCCCACAGAUUGUGAAACUCUGAGCCAGGGAAAGGGCUUGCCGAGGAAUUCACAGUGGGGUAAUUACACUGAGGUAGCUUGUGCCCGGUGCAAGAUAAGUUGCAUUACUGUAAUUCAUUGCAGGAGGCAGGGGCUCGCAUAAAGGAAAUGUCCAGAGGCAAGACUGCAGAGCCAUGAGAAGUCAUCGCCUUCCCAGAGCCCCGAUAAAACCCGACGUUGAAGCUGAGGAUGGUUCUUUGGCCUCCGAGGAUGUCUCCGUCUUCAGAGAAGUUUGCAGAACGUAGCAACGAUCACGUGCGAAUCUGGUUUCUCUUUGGCAAUUAGAAUGGAAGAAAGGUUGAAAGGGUGACUCAACAGAAAAAACAUCACCCUCCACUUGCGGCUCAUCAUGCCCAGCUGUAAAGCGGGGAUUAUAUUUACCUCCAUUGCAAAGUACUCGGUUUCAGAAGACGUUGGUGCGGUUUGCUGAGGCCCCGGCUGGAAAAUACCACAAGAAGUUCAAAGCCCGGUUUCAUCCUGUAAUUGGAUCCUCAAGUCCACAAGUGCAAGAACCAACUGUGCGGGCUGACAGCAGGUCCUCCCCUCUUCCAACAAGAACCCCACCACAACACGGGGCUGUGGGGCUGAGCUGCAAGCGUGGCAUACCCAGGAGCUGCUACUUUCUGCUGCUAUGCACAAAAAAAUGUUGUUUAAAGCUUUUGCCACCCUGUUUGAUCUGACCUGCUGUUAUUUUUUCUUUCUUUUUUUUUUUUUUUUAACUCUAAGACAUCUUCUUAACUCUCAUGCUCACUUGGGAUGCUCUUAAGAACAUGGACUUUAAUCCCAGUGUUACUUAAAUACCAAUUUAAUAUUUGUUUUCUCUCUGCCUUGACAAGAUAUUCCUCAGGUCAAGCAGGCAUGAAAUGAUAGAUAUUGAGUGCAAUUCUUCUGGGCAAGAAGAGCUACCUUCUAAAAUCUUAUCUCAAAACCACUUGGAAAUGUGUUAUUUAUUUAUUUAUGCCAUAAAAUCUCAUUCGAUGUUGAAGGCCCAAAGGAUUACAAUUCUGAAUUGGUUGGUUUGCUGUUUUGUUUUCUUUUUUUUUUCCCCCCGUCCUUGCUGAAAUCUGGCCUUUCAAAAUAACACAGAGAGAAUCUUUGUUUUGAUCUAAAAUAGCAGCUGCAAGGGCUUUUAAAUGACCAUUUAAAUGAGAUUUCUUUUUUUGCAUCUUCGCAUUAUAGUUUCAUUCUCGGUCUCUGAGAUCAGUAGCUGCGGUUGAGCAGCCGAGCCGUCUAAUGGGAAUAAAUUGUAAUAUUGUUCCAA